GCAUAUCAAAAAAGCGGAGGAAAAGAAACUAACAAGGAUUCCCCUAGUAACUGCGAGUGAAGCGGGAAAAGCUCAAAUUUAAAAUCUGGUGGUCUUUGGCCAUCCGAGUUGUAAUCUAGAGAAGUGUUAUCCGCGCUGGACCGUGUACAAGUCCCCUGGAAUGGGGCGUCAUAGAGGGUGAGAAUCCCGUCUUUGACACGGACUACCAGGGCUUUGUGAUGCACUCUCAAAGAGUCGAGUUGUUUGGGAAUGCAGCUCAAAAUGGGUGGUAAAUUCCAUCUAAAGCUAAAUAUUGGCGAGAGACCGAUAGCGAACAAGUACCGUGAGGGAAAGAUGAAAAGAACUUUGGAAAGAGAGUUAAACAGUACGUGAAAUUGUUGAAAGGGAAACGCUUGAAGUCAGUCGCGUCUGCCAGGGAUCAACCUUACUUUUGUGAGGCGUACUUCCUGGUUGAUGGGUCAGCAUCAGUUUUGGUUGCUGGAUAAAGGUCAGAGAAAUGUGGCUCCCUCGGGUGUGUUAUAGUCUUUGAUCAGAUACAGUGGCUGGGACUGAGGAACUCAGCGCCGCAAGGCUGUCUUAGGAUGCUGGCAAAAUGGCUUUAAUCGACCCGUCUUGAAACACGGACAAAAGGAGUCA
rnacentral:rRNA from 1 species